AAGCAGCACUCUGUAGCAGACUAUCACCUGACACAGUUUGAACUUGCUAUUGCAAGGAAGUCUAACCUGUUCCAGUACUUUUUCUACCAUGAGACAAAUCAUUAUCCAGACUUUAACAGU
ensembl:snoRNA